UUGGGAGGUCAGAGUUUGGGGAAAGGGAAAAUAAAAAAUUCAGUUCUGGACAUGUUGAGAACUGAAUAUCCUAAGGGCCAAGUACAUAGUUGAAAACUCAGGUCUAGAGUUCAGGAGUGAUCUGGGCUAAAGAUAUGAGGAUGAGCAAGACAGCAAAAAUCAGGAUAGUCUGUUAUCACUGGCACCAAAGAAGAAAAAUGUUUAAGGAGAGAGUAAGUUAAUGUUGCUGACAGUAAUAAUAAUAGCUA